UAAAGACUAGAAAACCAA
rnacentral:piRNA from 1 species